rnacentral:rRNA from 1 species
UGGGGAAUUUUGGACAAUGGGCGAAAGCCUGAUCCAGCAAUGCCGCGUGUGUGAAGAAGGCCUUCGGGUUGUAAAGCACUUUUGUCCGGAAAGAAAUCCUCUGGGUUAAUACCUCGGGGGGAUGACGGUACCGGAAGAAUAAGCACCGGCUAACUACGUGCCAGCAGCCGCGGUAAUACGUAGGGUGCAAGCGUUAAUCGGAAUUACUGGGCGUAAAGCGUGCGCAGGCGGUUUUGUAAGACGGAUGUGAAAUCCCCGGGCUUAACCUGGGAACUGCAUUCGUGACUGCAAGGCUAGAGUAUGGCAGAGGGGGGUAGAAUUCCACGUGUAGCAGUGAAAUGCGUAGAGAUGUGGAGGAAUACCGAUGGCGAAGGCAGCCCCCUGGGCCAAUACUGACGCUCAUGCACGAAAGCGUGGGGAGCAAACAGGAUUAGAUACCCUGGUAGUCCACGCCCUAAACGAUGUCAACUAGUUGUUGGGGAUUCAUUUCCUUAGUAACGUAGCUAACGCGUGAAGUUGACCGCCUGGGGAGUACGGUCGCAAGAUUAAAACUCAAAUGAAUUGACGGGGUCAUAGCUGAUUUCCU